AGGGAACGCUGGCGGUAGGCCUAACACAUGCAAGUCGAACGGCAGCACAGUAAGAGCUUGCUCUUACGGGUGGCGAGUGGCGGACGGGUGAGGAAUACAUCGGAAUCUACUUUUUCGUGGGGGAUAACGUAGGGAAACUUACGCUAAUACCGCAUACGACCUACGGGUGAAAGCAGGGGAUCUUCGGACCUUGCGCGAUUGAAUGAGCCGAUGUCGGAUUAGCUAGUUGGCGGGGUAAAGGCCCACCAAGGCGACGAUCCGUAGCUGGUCUGAGAGGAUGAUCAGCCACACUGGAACUGAGACACGGUCCAGACUCCUACGGGAGGCAGCAGUGGGGAAUAUUGGACAAUGGGCGCAAGCCUGAUCCAGCCAUACCGCGUGGGUGAAGAAGGCCUUCGGGCUGUAAAGCCCUUUUGUUGGGAAAGAAAAGCAGCAGGUUAAUACCCCGCUGUUCUGACGGUACCCAAAGAAUAAGCACCGGCUAACUUCGUG
rnacentral:rRNA from 1 species